GCCCGCUUGAUUCCAGCGUAGGACUUAAAAUCCCCCGCUCGUAAGGGCGUGCCGGUUCGAUUCCGGCUUCGGGCACCA
rnacentral:tRNA from 1 species